ensembl:lncRNA
AAUAAACCAUCCUGCCGGGAGUGGCCCUGGUGCUAGAGACAAGGGUGCAGGCUUCACUGAGGAUGCAUGACUUCCCCAGGGUCAGGCCCUAGCCCCGCAUCAGGGAUGCAGGCCAAUCUGGGGGCCUGAAAGAUGGAGAGACAUGCUCUGAAAAUCAGGUUUGGGGACUCUGUCCACAUAAUGGCUCCGAUUCACAGAGGCAACGCUGUUCUUUGCUGACCCUUGCAUGUUUGUGACAGUUGCUGGGAAAGAUAAGUCCCCAGACUGGAGCUCAGGCUGAGAGGAAGCAGACACGGUGGCCCUGGCAGUGUCACAGCAUCUUUAAACACACUCAGGAGCACACUGAUGUCCCGAAAGCAAAGUGAUGGACCAGAACUGAGGACCAAAACUCGUCCUGGGCUAGUUCUAUGAUUCUAUUCCGUCCUGUAUGGCUUGAGCCUUGCAAGUCAUGUACUCACCAAAGGGCAAUUCAGUUGUUUCCCUUAUGUGGUUUGUGGAUAUUUGCUAAACUUCAGGCACCAGUCUCUUUCUUGGGUGGAACAGGGAGAAACACAAAAGAACCCCACUCUUUUGUCUCUGGAUGGGGAAACCUGGCAGUUUGGGUUUGAUAAAUUUCUUACUUAUUUCUACCUUGGCCAUGUUUUCCAAACCUGUUUGAACCCACUGUCCUGAGGUGACGAUUUGCAUGCUUGCCGAAGCUAGGCUGACUGUCGGUACAGCCUGAUGUGGCUGGAACAGCCUCAAUUUACUCAUUUUGGUGUCUCAUUACAAUUAUUCAUAAUACGUGUGUGUGUGUGUGUGUGUGUGUGUGUGUGUGUGUGUGUACUGGCUUGGGUGAUAAAUCACAUGAUCACAUGAUCGCCUUCCAUGGGGACACAGCAAGGCUAUCAUUCCCAUCUGAGAGCUGUACACAAGAGAACAACUCCAGCAGCCAAGGGUGCACGGUGAGAUUAAGUGCCCAAGGCAAGGUGCAUCCAGAAAGCAGAGCUCAAGUGAAAGACUCCUGUGAUUACACAGUGCGCAGAGAGCACCUCACAUGAGUUUCCAGAAGCAGAGCCCGCCACAUAAUCAUCUGUGCUUUAAUGUUGCCAGAGUUCCUUGCAGAUUGGGUCAUGUGACUAGUUGGGCCUUUUGGUAGCUGAUGUCAAGGUGCCACUUCGAGACCCAGGCAAGAUCUGCUGCUGCCCUCUGCCUCCUGCAUGUUGCUGAGGUGACUUUGGUUGCCAAGAAAGCAACCCCUGGAUACGGAGCCACUCCUUGUGGGGAAAAGCCCUCCCCAGCCUGCAUGUACCUUAUGUGAGAGAGAAGUCAGCCUGGUGUGGGCUGCCCACCGGCUUUCCUUGCUGCUGUUGCAAGCUUGUUGUCUCAAUAUUGAAAUGAGCACCGCCUCACUUGAUCUGAAAAUAAAAGGUCUGUGUGCUCUUUCUACUCAUAAAAACACACCGGCUUCCUGUUCACUGUCCUCUGAGCAAGUUGUUUUACCUCGGUCUUCUUAAGUUGCUGUUGGAUCCACAGGCUCACACGCCCCUAAUUUCUUGGCACUACCUGAUGUACUUUAAGCCCCACCACCACCACCAGAAGUUGCUAGGUUCCAGCAGUAUGGACUUCAAUGGAGACCUCACUUUAGACGCUCAUCAGCCUGACAAGUAAAAUUCCAAUUUCCCUACCCAUGGGGCUCAGUUUACCUGUGUCCAUCGAGAGUUUUAGUUGCCCAUGUGGUUCAAAGUUUCUAAGGAUGUGGGCUAAGCCCAUUUAUGACCUAUAAAUUCAGUUGUAAAAGAUGCAACUGGCGUUUACAAAGUUAAGCAGAGUAGAAGAAAGUCAGUGUCUGCAAGGCAAGUGGGGAUAGUGAUUGGCCUUCCUGGGUGUCCCGAGACUGCCUCCCCUGCUGCACAGUGUGGAUCAGCAGUGGUCCUCAGGUGGCGGGACUUGUCUCUGCAGAGGACUGAUGGAAUCAGUCACACAGAGUGAGCAUUACAUACGAGCAUUUCCAGGAGGCAACCUGGAAACUGAGGGAAACCAACUAAGAGUGGAGUUGACGGCUGGGGAAGAAGUCGGCCAGGGCAGUUUUCCCUGAGCAGAGACUGUCUGUCUCUGUCACCCAGAGUUAAGCUGGGCUCCCCUGGAGCUGACUUUUGCAGAACUCCCAGUUUUCCAUUGAAAUGAGGAUAACCAGUCCCCUUUGCCUGGUAGGUGUCCUUAUGGUAAAGUCUGCAUUAAGGAGAGGGGACUUGAGUUCCUUCAAGAC